AUUGAACGCUGGCGGCAGGCCUAACACAUGCAAGUCGAACGAGUGGCGGACGGGUGAGUAAUGUCUGGGAAACUGCCUGAUGGAGGGGGAUAACUACUGGAAACGGUCGCUAAUACCGCAUACCAUCAGAUGUGCCCAGAUGGGAUUAGCUAGUUGGGGGGGUAACGGCUCACCAAGGCGACGAUCCCUAGCUGGUCUGAGCGGAUGACCAGCCAGUCUGGAACUGAGACACGGACCAGACUCCUACGGGAGGCGGCAGUGGGGAGUAUUGCGCAAUGGGCGCCAGCCUGAGUCAGCCAUGCCGCGUGUAUGAAGAAGGCCUGCGGGUGGUAAAGUACUUUCAGCGGGGAGGCGUUACCCGCAGAAGGAGCACCGGCUAACUCCGUGGCAGCAGCCGCGGUAAUAC
rnacentral:rRNA from 1 species